UCAAGCUACAAAGAGCACAAGGGGAAUGCCUUGGCACCGAGAGCCGAAGAAGGACGUGACUAACUGCGAUAAGCUGCGGGGAGCCGUAAGUAGGCUUUGAUCCGCAGAUUUCCGAAUGGAGCAAUCCGGCAAGAGGAAAGUCUUGUCAUCAUAUACUGAAUACAUAGGUAUAUGAGGGGAACCGCCUGAACUGAAACAUCUAAGUAGGGCGAGGAAGAGAAAUCAACUGAGAUUCCGUAAGUAGUGGCGAGCGAACGCGGAAGAGGCCAAACCGAGAGUAGUAAUACUUUCGGGGUUCGGACAGAAAACGGUAUUGUAAAGGUUUAGUGGAAUGGAAUGGGAAGUCCAACCGAAGAAGGUGAGAGUCCUGUACACGAAAAGCCUGAACAGCCAUCUGUAUCCAGAGUACCGCCGGACACGUGAAACCCGGUGGGAAUACGGGGGGACCAUCCUCCAAGCCUAAAUACUACUCGGUGACCGAUAGUGAAGAAGUACUGUGAAGGAAAGGUGAAAAGUACCCCUGACGGGGAGUGAAAAAGAACCUGAAACCUUGUGUUUACAAGCACCGAAAGCUCAUCAAAGAGCGAUCGGGUACCUUUUGUAGAAUGGUCCGGCGAGUGAAUGUAACCGGCGAGGUUAAGCACUUAAGGUGUGAAGCCGCAGCGAGAGCAAGUCUGAAUAGGGCGUAUGAAGUCGGUUGUAUUCGACCCGAAACCGGGUGACCUACCCAUGGUCAGGUUGAAGUAAAGGUAAAACUUUAUGGAGGACCGAACCGACUCCCGUUGAAAUGGUAGCGGAUGAACUGUGGGUAGCGGAGAAAUUCCAAUCGAACCCGGAGAUAGCUGGUUCUCUCCGAAAUAGCUUUAGGGCUAGCCUUGAAAUAGAUUACCGGAGGUAAAGCACUGAAUUGGCUAGGGGCCGAGAGGUUACUGAACCUUAUCAAACUAAGAAUGCCGGAUAAUCGUUUUUCAGGAGUCAGACAGUGGGAGAUAAGUUUCAUUGUCAAAAGGGAAACAGCCCAGACCCACAGCUAAGGUCCCCAAGUAUAGUUAAGUGGAAAAGGAUGUGGAAUUGCACAGACAACCAGGAUGUUGGCUUAGAAGCAGCCACUCAUUAAAAGAGUGCGUAAUAGCUCACUGGUCGAGUGACUCUGCGCCGAAAAUUUAACGGGGCUAAACUAUACACCGAAGCUUGGGAUACAUCUAAUGUAUGGUAGGAGAGCGUUCUGUAUGGGGAGAAGUCGUAGCGAAAGCGGCGGUGGACUAUACAGAAGUGAGAAUGCCGGAAUAAGUAGCGAGAAUUAAGUGAGAAUCUUAAUGGCCGAAAGUCUAAGGUUUUUGGAGGAAGGUUCGUCCGCUCCAAGUAAGUCGGGAGCUAAGGUCAGGCCGAAAGGCGUAGCCGAUGCACAUACGGUUGAUAUUCCGUAACCAUCUGUAAUUUAAGCAAAGGGACACUUCAAAAGGGUGUGACCCGGGCGUUGGUUGACCCGGGCGUAAGGGACCGAAAUUAGAGUAGGGAAGCACACUUAGCUGAAGGCGAGAAAAGCUUUGCGUAUAGAAACAGAUGCCCGUACCGCAAACCGACACAGGUGGACAGGAAGAGAAUUCUAAGGCCAGCGGGAGAAGGGUAGUUAAGGAACUCGGCAAAUUGACUCCGUAACUUCGGAAUAAGGAGUGCUCGAAAGAGCCGCAGAGAAUAGGCCCAGGCGACUGUUUAGCAAAAACACAGGUCUCUGCCAAAUCGAAAGAUGAAGUAUAGGGGCUGACACCUGCCCGGUGCCGGAAGGUUAAGAGGAGGAGUGAGAGCUCCGAAUUGAAGCCCCGGUAAACGGCGGCCGUAACUAUAACGGUCCUAAGGUAGCGAAAUUCCUUGUCGGGUAAGUUCCGACCCGCACGAAUGG
rnacentral:rRNA from 1 species